rnacentral:tRNA from 1 species
GCGCCUGUAGCUCAACGGAUAGAGCACCUGGCUUCGGACCAGGGGGUUGUGGGUUCGAAUCCUGCCAGGCGCA